rnacentral:rRNA from 1 species
CCUACGGGAGGCAGCAGUGGGGAAUAUUGCACAAUGGGCGGAAGCCUGAUGCAGCGACGCCGCGUGAGCGAAGAAGGCCUUCGGGUCGUAAAGCUCUGUCCUAUGGGACGAUAAUGACGGUACCAUAGGAGGAAGCCCCGGCUAACUACGUGCCAGCAGCCGCGGUAAUACGUAGGGGGCGAGCGUUGUCCGGAAUUACUGGGCGUAAAGGGUACGUAGGCGGCUAGGUAAGUCAGAUGUGAAAGGCAUGGGCUUAACCCAUGUAAGCAUUUGAAACUGCUUAGCUUGAGUCGAGGAGAGGAAAGCGGAAUUCCUGGUGUAGCGGUGAAAUGCGUAGAUAUCAGGAGGAACACCAGUGGCGAAGGCGGCUUUCUGGCCUUGGACUGACGCUGAGGUACGAAAGCGUGGGGAGCAAACAGGAUUAGAUACCCUGGUAGUCCACGCCGUAAACGAUGAGUGCUAGGUGUCGGGGAUUAAUCUUCGGUGCCGGAGUUAACACAUUAAGCACUCCGCCUGGGGAGUACGUGCGCAAGCAUGAAACUCAAAGGAAUUGACGGGGACCCGCACAAGCAGCGGAGCAUGUGGUUUAAUUCGAAGCAACGCGAAGAACCUUACCAGGGCUUGACAUCCCUCUGACCGGUGUAGAGAUACACCCUUCCCUUUUGGGACAGAGGAGACAGGUGGUGCAUGGUUGUCGUCAGCUCGUGUCGUGAGAUGUUGGGUUAAGUCCCGCAACGAGCGCAACCCUUGCCUUUAGUUGCUAACAGUUCGGCUGAGCACUCUAGAGGGACUGCCGGCAAAAAGUCGGAGGAAGGUGGGGAUGACGUCAAAUCAUCAUGCCCUUUAUGUCCUGGGCUACACACGUGCUACAAUGGUCGGUACAGC